rnacentral:rRNA from 1 species
GGGAUUGCCUCAGUAACGGCGAGUGAAGCGGCAACAGCUCAAAUUUGAAAUCUGGCCCCUUCGGGGUCCGAGUUGUAAUUUGUAGAGAGUGUUUCGGGUGAGACCACGGUCUAAGUCUAUUGGAACAUUACGUCAUAGAGGGUGAGAACCCCGUAUGCGACCGUGGCUCGAGCCCAUGUGAAGCCUCUUCGACGAGUCGAGUUGUUUGGGAAUGCAGCUCAAAAUGGGUGGUAAAUUUCAUCUAAAGCUAAAUACUGGCUGGAGACCGAUAGCGCACAAGUAGAGUGAUCGAAAGAUGAAAAGCACUUUGGAAAGAGAGUCAAACAGUACGUGAAAUUGUUGAAAGGGAAGCGCUGGCAACCAGACCUGUCCGUAGGCGAUCAGCCGCUGUUCUCAGCGGUGCACUCGUUCUGCGAUCAGGCCAGCAUCGGUUUCGGCGGUCGGAUAAAGGCCCGGGGAACGUAGCUCCCUCUCGGGGGAGUGUUAUAGCCCCGGGCGCAAUGCGGCCAGCCGGGACCGAGGACCGCGCUUCGGCUAGGAUGCUGGCGUAAUGGUUGUCAGCGACCCGUCUUGAAACACGGACCAAGGAGUCUAACAUCUAUGCGAGUGUUUGGGUGUCAAACCCAUGCGCGGAAUGAAAGUGAACGGAGGUGAGAACCCUUUAGGGCGCAUCAUCGACCGAUCCAGAUGUCUUCGGAUGGAUUUGAGUAUGAGCAUAGCUGUUGGGACCCGAAAGAUGGUGAACUAUGCCUGAAUAGGGUGAAGCCAGAGGAAACUCUGGUGGAGGCUCGCAGCGGUUCUGACGUGCAAAUCGAUCGUCAAAUUUGGGUAUAGGGGCGAAAGACUAAUCGAACCA